CCUACGGGAGGCAGCAGUAGGGAAUAUUGCUCAAUGGGGGAAACCCUGAAGCAGCAACGCCGCGUGGAGGAUGAAGGUUCUCGGAUUGUAAACUCCCUUUGUUAGAGAAGAUAAUGACGGUAUCUAACGAAUAAGCACCGGCUAACUCCGUGCCAGCAGCCGCGGGAAUAAGGAGGGUGCAAGCGUUACUCGGAAUCACUGGGCGUAAAGAGCGCGUAGGCGGGUUAGUAAGUCAGAUGUGAAAUGCUAUGGCUUAACCAUAGAACUGCAUUUGAAACUGUGAGUCUAGAGUAGGGGAGAGGUAGGUGGAAUUCUUGGUGUAGGGGUGAAAUGCGUAGAGAUCAAGAGGAAUACUCAUUGCGAAGGCGGCCUGCUGGAACAUAACUGACGCUGAUGCACGAAAGCGUGGGGAGCGAACAGGAUUAGAUACCCCAGUAGUC
rnacentral:rRNA from 1 species